UUCCUGGUGGUCGAGUGGUUAAGAAUCUGCCUUUCAACGCAGGGACACAGGUUCAAUCCCUGGUCGGGAAA
rnacentral:tRNA from 1 species